AGACUCCGCUUGAUCCUGGCGGACCCAACUGCUAUCGGGAUGAGACUAAGCCAUGCGAGUCGCACGCUUCCUAGCCACGGUGGGAGCGUGGCGUACGGCUCAGUAACAUGUGGCUAACCUACCCUCAGGACUGGGACAACUUCGGGAAACUGAGGCUAAUCCCGGAUGGACGGAGAGGCCUGGAAUGGUUCUCCGUUGAAAAGGCUCUAGAGGCAUGCUCUCUAGAGUUGCCUGAGGAUGGGGCCGCAGCCGAUCAGGUUGUUGGUGAGGUAACGGCUCACCAAGCCUAUAACCGGUACGGGCCGUGAGAGCGGGAGCCCGGAGAUGGGCACUGAGAUAAGGGCCCAGGCCCUACGGGGCGCAGCAGGCGCGAAACCUUUGCAAUGCGCGAAAGCGUGACAGGGUCAUCCCGAGUGCCGUCCGCUGAGGAUGGCUUUUGCCUGGUCUAACCAGCCAGGUGAAUAAGGGGAGGGCAAGUCUGGUGUCAGCCGCCGCGGUAAUACCAGCUCCUCGAGUGGUUGGGACGAUUAUUGGGUCUAAAGCGUCCGUAGCCGGCUGGAAAAGUUCUCCGUAAAAUCCAACGAUCCAAUCGUUGGAUCGCGGGGAAUACUUUCCGGCUUGGGGGCGGGGGAGGUCGGCGGUAGUCCCGGGGUAGGGGCGAAAAAGGAAACGAAAAGUUUCCAUUCGCAGUCUUAUAAUCCCGGGAGGACCACCAGUGGCGAAGGCGGCCGACUAAAACGCGCCCGACGGUGAGGGACGAAAGCUGGGGGAGCGAACGGGAUUAGAUACCCCGGUAGUCCCAGCUGUAAACGAUGCAGGCUAGGUGUUAGGACGGGUACGGCCCGUCCUAGUGCCGCAGGGAAGCCAUUAAGCCUGCCACCUGGGGAGUACGGCCGCAAGGCUGAAUUCUCAUAUGGCAAGAAAUCGUGCCGUUGAGACAGUUCACUUAAAGGAAUUGGCGGGGGAGCACCACAAGGGGUGAAGCUUGCGGUUUAAUUGGAGUCAACACCGGGAACCUUACCAGGGGCGACAGUUGGAUGAAGGUCAGAUUAAAGGUCUUACCGGACUAGCUGAGAGGAGGUGCAUGGCCGUCGCCAGUUCGUGCCGUGAGGUGUUCUCUUAAGUGAGAAAACGAACGAGACCCGUGCCCUUAGUUGCCAGGGCAUUCCCUCGGGAAUGCAGGCACACUAGGGGGACUGCCUCCGCUAAGGGGGAGGAAGGAGCGGGCCACGGCAGGUCAGUAUGCCCCGGAUCCCCUGGGCCACACGCGAGCUGCAAUGGCUGGGACAAUGGGCUCCGACCCCGAAAGGGGAAGGCAAUCCCUAAACCCAGCCUCAGUUGGGAUCGAGGGCUGCAACCCGCCCUCGUGAACAUGGAAUCCCUAGUAACCGCGUGUCAUCAUCGCGCGGUGAAUACGUCCCUGCUCCUUGCACACACCGCCCGUCGCUCCACCCGAGUCUGGUUUUGGUGAGGUGCAGCCCUGUUGGUUGCCUCGAACCUAAGCUAAGCAAGGGGGGAGAAGUCGUAACAAGGUGGCCGUAGGGGAACCUGCGGCCGGAUCACCUCCUUAG
rnacentral:rRNA from 1 species